UACGAAGGGUGCAAGCGUUACUCGGAAUUACUGGGCGUAAAGCGUGCGUAGGUGGUUCGUUAAGUCUGAUGUGAAAGCCCUGGGCUCAACCUGGGAAUUGCAUUAGAUACUAGCGAGCUAGAGUGCGGUAGAGGAUGGCGGAAUUCCCGGUGUAGCAGUGAAAUGCGUAGAGAUCAGGAGAAACAUCUGUGGCGAAGGCAGCCAUCUGGACCAGCACUGACACUGAGGCACGAAAGCGUAAAGAGCAAACAGG
rnacentral:rRNA from 1 species